UAGGAUACAUAUUUGAUGUAUGUACAUAAAAUGCAAACUCGUGUUUUACACACAUAGUUUCCACCUGAAUUAUUGCAACAGUUAUACACUUGAAUUUCUCUGCUAGUAAUACCCGGGAAAACCACGUGAAUUGGGACCCAGUUAUACACGAGAAUGUUAGAUCAAGUUAUACACGUGUUUAUCUCGUGAAUAUCUAGUGAAAACACGCGUACACGAGUAAUCCACAAGAUUUCCACUAGACGUUCACGUGAAAUUCACAUGUUGUGCCCACUGGGAUAUGAUUUUUAUGUGAAUAUUUCUCCCUCUCCUUAUACUGUAUCUUAUUUAUUUCCUCUGUGUUAUGUCUACUUUGAUGAUGUUUAUAAGAUAUUAAUGUUGGAAAAACUUUAUAUAUCACAGAAAAAUAUGCGGGUUCUUCGGAGCAGCAAGCCAUGCUCCUACAAUUCCUCAAACUCCUGCAAAUCAAGUGUCAACAAACAGCGUCCGUUGAAAAUGCCGCUUCCCGACCUGAAAAAUGUGCAGGUUCUUCGGAGCAGCAAGCCCCUCCUAUCGCUACGCUCCUUCAAUUCCUCAAACUCACGCAAAUCAAGUGUCAACAGGCAGCGUCCGUUCAAAAUGCAGCUGCCCGACCUGGCAUGAACUGUACUUAGCUGCGUGGAAGGGCGCACUAGAAGCUCCACCCUGCUGCCACAUGGUCUACCCGCGCAUGGUGGAGUCCUCCAGCCUCUUCUCGUAACCUCCCAAGGUGCUCCACACAGCAAGCACACCUCUCGUAACCUCCCAAGGGCUUCCCUCUCCUACAGUACACACUCACCUGACUUGUGGAUACGGCAGGUGUUAGGAAGACCACCAUGAUGUAAAACACGUGGGCGGGAGAGGAAGAAAGCAUGUUUGGUCAGCACGAGAUCACUUGGAGAAGAGGGCACGGGUCAAGGGGUGACCCGCCAUGGCCCACGGUCAAGAUGCCAGCACUCGCCACAGCUGACAUCUCUCGUUCUGUGUAACACUUAUACUAACGCCCUAACGGCUAUGGGUUAUUAUUUAUUAAUAACUUAACACCAUGCACUAAGUAAUAGUGGGUCAUGCAUCCCAUGAAUAUUUCAGCAUUGGCAGCAAUAGGUGAUAAGUAUUUGAAUAAGCUCCUGCUCCCGCCUGGCCUGGGUCUGGGUAGGUAGGUAGAAAUUUCCCGCCUUCUAAGGACUUAUUUCCCGCUCUCUAAAUAAAAUGGUGGGGACUUCCAUGGAAUUUUACACGGGCUAUUUCUUGAAAUAAGGAAUUCAUGACAGAUGCUAAAGUGCACUUGCUCAUGUCGGGAGGGUACCUGCUGGCGAUUACGAGUCCAACACUUGAUCAGUCCGUGGUAAAUUACACAUACAUUCUCUUUCAAUGUUUCUCUAUUAUUUCCUGAAUGUAUCCAAGUUGUUUCUCAGCUGCUUCCCGAAACACUUGGGAAACGUCUGGGAUACAUUGUUGUCAUUCAAAGAUUCCUGGUGUGGACUCCACGGAUUUGACGAAAAAAUCGAAAAAUAUGGCCAUUUUAGGUUUUUGUCUCUAAAAUUAGUAGCGUCACGUGGCAACAUUUUGGUGAAGUAUGAACCCAUUAUGAGCACUAGAAGUGAUUUAAACGUGGGUUUAAAUGCAUGUUAAACGUGGGUUUAAAUGCAUGUUAAAGGUCCGGGCGCAACACGCGGGUUUGUUUAUAUCGUAGUAAAGUCCUAUAAACUCUCACGUUUUCAUAAGAUAGAUAUUUAUUCUUCUUCUUUACAUUACAA